rnacentral:sRNA from 1 species
GACCUAACCCUUAUGUUUUUUUCAUAAGAUAUGGUCAAAAGUCCAGUUAGACAUGAAGAACCCAUCAUGGGGUCGUCUAACUGGCCAUAUCGGGAAACCGGUAUGAGAGGUUUCGAACCUCU